GAUGAACGCUAGCGGCAGGCUUAAUACAUGCAAGUCGUGGGGCAGCAUGAAUGUAGCAAUACAUUUGAUGGCGACCGGCAAACGGGUGCGGAACACGUACACAACCUUCCUAUAAGUGGGGAAUAGCCCAGAGAAAUUUGGAUUAAUACCCCGUAACAUAACGAUGUGGCAUCACAUUGUUAUUAUAGCUUCGGCGCUUAUUGAUGGGUGUGCGGCUGAUUAGAUAGUUGGCGGGGUAACGGCCCACCAAGUCUACGAUCAGUAGCUGAUGUGAAGGCAUGAUCAGCCACACGGGCACUGAGACACGGGCCCGACUCCUACGGGAGGCAGCAGUAAGGAAUAUUGGUCAAUGGACGCAAGUCUGAACCAGCCAUGCCGCGUGAAGGAUUAAGGUCCUCUGGAUUGUAAACUUCUUUUAUCUGGGACGAAAAAAGGCUUUUCUAAGUCACUUGACGGUACCAGAUGAAUAAGCACCGGCUAACUCCGUGCCAGCCGCCGCGGUAACAC
rnacentral:rRNA from 1 species